CUCCCAUCUUGCCGGGUCGCCAGCAGAGAGAAAAUAGAAAAUGAAAAUGAAGUCCGUGAAAGACACAAAAUCAAGCCACAUCAUAUCUGAUAGUCUGAACGUUCCCAGUUCCAGACUGAAAAGAGCCACCAACAUUCAUUGCCUCUAUAUAUUAUUUGGCAUUUACCUUCCCCUUCAAUCUCCUCCCGCUAAUCUCGCCUCUUCUCUUCCCUUUCGCUCUCAUUACUGCUACACUAUACGAUUCAUAUACAGUCCUUUCUCUCUCUGGUACGCGUUUCUUUCUCUUUCCCAGCUGGUCUUCACUGUCACUCCAACUACGGCAAUGUCUGUUAUCCACUUCGUCGUCUUCUUGUUCCUCAUCUUCUUCUCCACCGCCUCCUCUGCUCCUAUUCAACCCUACCCUUAUGGUUUAGCUUACCGCAUCGACUGUGGUAGUGCCACUAAUACCACUGACCCAUUUAACACCACCUGGCUGUCCGACCGAUUCUACACCGGAGGCGCCACCUCCAUAGUUUCCGAGCCACUUCACUUCCACUACUCCUACGAGAAGACUCUUCGCUUCUUCCCUGUCUCCUACGGCAAGAAGAAUUGCUAUGUUGUCCCCUCUCUACCCAACGGUCGCUACUUGUUUCGCACAUUUGUCGUUUAUGACAAUUACGAUGGCAAGUCUCACCCCCCGUCCUUCGACAUCUCCGUUGAGGGCACCGUUGUCUUCAGUUGGCGAUCGCCGUGGCCGGAAUCUUUAGCUCGUGACGGCGCCUACUCCGAUCUCUUUGCGUACGUCAACGACGGCGAAGCUGACGUCUGCUUUUACAGCUUAGCGACUGAUCCUCCGGUCAUCUCCUCGCUUGAGCUCGUGCAGGUGGAUUCGUCAUCCUAUGAUUUGGCUGCUGCUGGAAAUGACGUUAUUCUCGUCAAUUAUGGAAGGUUAUCUUGCGGGAGCGAUUCAUGGGGUCCUGGAUUCAGCGACGACACUGACGUCUUCGGUCGGUCAUGGCAAUCCGAUAAAGAGUUCCGAUCAAAUUCGGACGAUUUCAGGACCAUAUCGACGAGGAACGCUAUAAGUGGCGCUUCUGUAAAGCCCAAUUACUUUCCUAUGAAAUUGUACCAGUCGGCGGUUACGGUGGAUGGAGAUGGUGCGUUGGAGUACAAAUUGAAUGUGGACGCGAAAUUGGAUUACCUGGUGUGGUUGCAUUUUGCGGAAAUUGAUUCGAGCGUGAAGAAGGCAGGGGAUCGGGUUUUUGAUGUGUUCGUCAAUGACAAGAAUGUGACUAGGAUUGACAUAUACAAGCAGGUGGGAAGUUUUGCUGCAUAUGGUUGGCAUUACACAGUGAAGAAUUUAAGCAGUAGUGUCUUGAGUGUGAAGCUUGUAGCAGCUAAGGGUGCCCCACUCAUUAGCGGGCUUGAAAAUUAUGCCCUGGUACCUAACGAUCCUUCCACUGUCCCUGAACAAGUAAUUGCCAUGAAAGCAUUGAAAGAGUCACUUCGCAUUCCUGAUAGAAUGGGUUGGAAUGGCGACCCUUGUGCUCCAACUAAUUGGGAUGCUUGGGAGGGAGUAACAUGCCGCAUGAACAAGAAUAAAACUGCCCUCAUGAUAAGUCAAAUAGAUCUAGGCAGUCAAGGCUUAAAAGGGUACAUAAGUGAGCAGAUUGGUCUUUUGGCAAACUUGGUAAGCCUAAACCUGAGUUCUAAUUCUUUGGAGGGUGAAAUUCCUUCUGGGCUUGGUCAAAAUUCUCUAACAAAUCUGGAUUUAUCCAACAAUCAGUUAACAGGGUCCAUACCAGAUAGCUUAGCAUCUUCAAGUUUGCAGCUUGUGCUAUUAAAUGGUAACUUAUUGGAAGGACGAGUGCCAGAGCAACUCUAUUCAGUUGGUGUGCAUGGUGGAGCUAUUGAUCUCUCUGGCAACAAAGGUUUGUGUGGCGUUCCUUCUUUGCCAGCAUGUCCAAUAUUUUGGGAGAAUGGCAGACUAUCUUCUCGGGGUAAAAUUGCCAUAGGCUUGUCAUGUCUUCUUGUUUUGUGUCUGAUAUUGCUGCUUGUAUGUAUCUACAUCAGGAAGAGAAGAAAUGAUUAUGACUUUGGUCUACCACAUGAACUGAUGUCUUUAGCUGCCAAGAGAAAUCGAUAUCAGAGGCAGAAAUCCUUGAUGGUCCUUGAGAUGGAGAGUCAACAUGCCAAGGGAUUACAUCCAUUUUCUCCUCCACAAUGAUCAAAUUUUGCUGGAAAUGGAAGAUUGAUUUUUAGUUUUUGGCUACAUCAUACACCGACACAGCUUAUUGAAAAGAAUUCAAUGUUACGACAAUAAUACCCAGCUCUGAUGUGCCAACACUCCCCCUGUAAAAAGUUGCCUUAUGGUGUUGGUUUUUCUCCCUCAACUUCAUCUCGUCAAAAGGAUUCUGGAAGCCACCACUCAUUGGCAGGUUUUGAUGAAUUCAUGAUAGGGGAAACUCUUAAAAUGUAUGUAAUUUGGUCCGCACUUAGUGUUCAGAUUUUCUGGGUAUACAUCAGAUCUGUUGACUCUUGACACUGUAUACUGAUUUAUGCAGCCAAACUGCUGAGGGGGCAUAGUUGUACAAUGAAAAUUUAGGAAAGAUUUUUCAUAGAAUAAAGUCAGAAAAGAUGAUCCCAUAUUGAUGGACUUGGAAAAUUUUGGUUUGCAUGAUUGAUCAAAGAUUCGAAGUGAUCACAGUUGAAGAAGACCCUUUUUGAGUAGUUUGAUUCUUUCUUCCUUUUGAUGUGUCUGGAAGGUGCACGACAAACUCAUUAUAUGUUCAUCUUCUCCUAAUGAAUUUAUUUGCAAUAAAUGCUCAUCUUUAUUCUA